UUUGGUGAUGAUGGCGGAGGGGCCACACCUGUUCCCAUACCGAACACAGAAGUAAAGUCCUCCAGCGUCGAUGGUACUUGG
rnacentral:rRNA from 1 species